rnacentral:lncRNA from 1 species
GAAUAAGAAAUUAUAUCCAUUCCUUCAUUAAAGGCAGUUACAUUAUAAGUGGUCUGAACUGUAAACCUAUCGCUGGCAAACUGUGCCUUUGCAUUGACAAAUGUCAUUUAUGCCGAGCCCAUCAAACAAGUAUUUCUUCUUUUUUUUUCAUUAUUCCAUUCAUCACUGGCUUUCACACCACAGCCACUCAGAGACCCGCUCGGCACAGCAUGUGGUAAGGUCACAACAGACGGAAGUUAAUCACUUUUUUGACAAAUCGAUCCGUUACUAGUACUACAGCUGUUACUUGCUACUCCAUAAGAAUGUGACGGUUACGGAGUGAAUAAGCGAAAAAGAUGAGGGAAG